CGGAGGGAUCAUUGCUGGAACGCGCUUCGGCGCACCCAGAAACCCUUUGUGAACUUAUACCUUACUGUUGCCUCGGCGCAGGCCGGCCUCUUAGCUGAGGCCCCCCGGAGACGGGGAGCAGCCCGCCGGCGGCCAACCAAACUCUUGUUUCUACAGUGGAUCUCUGAGUAAAAAAACAUAAAUGAAUCAAAACUUUCAACAACGGAUCUCUUGGUUCUGGCAUCGAUGAAGAACGCAGCGAAAUGCGAUAAGUAAUGUGAAUUGCAGAAUUCAGUGAAUCAUCGAAUCUUUGAACGCACAUUGCGCCCUCUGGUAUUCCGGAGGGCAUGCCUGUUCGAGCGUCAUUUCAACCCUCAAGCCUGGCUUGGUGUUGGGGCACUGCUCCGAGAGGAGCAGGCCCUGAAAUCUAGUGGCGAGCUCGCUAGGACCCCGAGCGUAGUAGUUAUAUCUCGUUCUGGAAGGCCCUGGCGGUGCCCUGCCGUUAAACCCCCAACUUCUGAAAUUUUGACCUCGGAUCAGGUAGGAAUACCCGCUGAACUUAAGCAUA
rnacentral:rRNA from 1 species